rnacentral:rRNA from 1 species
CCUACGGGAGGCAGCAGUAGGGAAUCUUCCGCAAUGGGCGAAAGCCUGACGGAGCAACGCCGCGUGAGUGAUGAAGGUCUUCGGAUCGUAAAACUCUGUUAUCAGGGAAGAACAAAUGUGUAAGUAACUGUGCACAUCUUGACGGUACCUGAUCAGAAAGCCACGGCUAACUACGUGCCAGCAGCCGCGGUAAUACGUAGGUGGCAAGCGUUAUCCGGAAUUAUUGGGCGUAAAGCGCGCGUAGGCGGUUUUUUAAGUCUGAUGUGAAAGCCCACGGCUCAACCGUGGAGGGUCAUUGGAAACUGGAAAACUUGAGUGCAGAAGAGGAAAGUGGAAUUCCAUGUGUAGCGGUGAAAUGCGCAGAGAUAUGGAGGAACACCAGUGGCGAAGGCGACUUUCUGGUCUGUAACUGGCGCUGAUGUGCGAAAGCGUGGGGAUCAAACAGGAUUAGAUACCCUGGUAGUCCACGCCGUAAACGAUGAGUGCUAAGUGUUAGGGGGUUUCCGCCCUUAGUGCUGCAGCUAACGCAUUAAGCACUCCGCCUGGGGAGUACGACCGCAAGGUUGAAACGUCAAAGGAAUUGACGGCUGAGACGNGCGAGGACGACGACGAGGGAGGAGG